AGUGAACGCUGGCGGUAGGCCUAACACAUGCAAGUCGAACGAGUGGCGGACGGGUGAGGAAUGCAUCGGAAUCUACUCUUUCGUGGGGGAUAACGUAGGGAAACUUACGCCAAUACCGCAUACGAAUGAAUGAGCCGAUGCCCGAUUAGCUAGUUGGCGGGGUAAGAGCCCACCAAGGCGACGAUCGGUAGCUGGUCUGAGAGGAUGAUCAGCCACACUGGAACUGAGACACGGUCCAGACUCCUACGGGAGGCAGCAGUGGGGAAUAUUGGACAAUGGGCGCAAGCCUGAUCCAGCCAUACCGCGUGGGUGAAGAAGGCCUUCGGGUUGUAAAGCCCUUUUGUUGGGAAAGCGGUACCCAAAGAAUAAGCACCGGCUAACUUCGUGCCAGCAGCCGCGGUAAUACGAAGGGUGCAAGCGUUACUCGGAAUUACUGGGCGUAAAGCGUGCGUAGGUGGUUGUUUAAGUCUGUCGUGAAAGCCUUGGGCUCAACCUGGGAAUUGCGAUGGAAACUGGGCGACUAGAGUGUGGCAGAGGAUAGUGGAAUUCCUGGUGUAGCAGUGAAAUGCGUAGAGAUCAGGAGGAACAUCCAUGGCGAA
rnacentral:rRNA from 1 species